GAGAAUCAGCAGAACAGCCAACUGGGGCAUUACAAAAAAAAAACAAAAAAAAGAAAAGAAAGAGGAGGGUGCAAAAUCAAAAGAAAUAAAAAAAAACAAAAAGAAAGAAAAAGAAAGAAAGAAACAAAAGAGAAAUAACACCCUCAAAGUCCCAAGUUGACUGAUGUUGAAUGGAUUCGGAGUCGUUACGACCAACUGAAUCUGAUCGAAAAGAAGAGAUUAACUGCCAUGUGUCAUGGUCAGUCAUAUCAGCAGAGAAUGAA
rnacentral:lncRNA from 1 species